GUAGGUGACUAGCGUUGUCCGGAUUUACUGGGCGUAAAGAGCGCGCAGGCGGUCGUGCAAGUCGAGUGUGAAAGCCCCCGGCUCAACUGGGGAGGGUCACUCGAUACUGCUCGACUUGAAGGCGGGAGAGGGAAGCGGAAUUCCCGGUGUAGUGGUGAAAUGCGUAGAUAUCGGGAGGAACACCAGUGGCGAAGGCGGCUUCCUGGCCCGUUCUUGACGCUGAGGCGCGAAAGCUAGGGGAGCAAACGGGAUUAGAUACCCCGGUAGUCCUAGCUGUAAACGAUGGACACUAGGUGUUGGUGGUAUCAACCCCGCCAGUGCCGAAGCUAACGCAUUAAGUGUCCCGCCUGGGGAGUACGGCCGCAAGGCUA
rnacentral:rRNA from 1 species